UCUCCCGCCUUGGUUCCUUCGUUCCUUCUUCUAAUUCUUAAUUAUCUAAGCAUUGAUUCCCUCCCUCCUUGCUGCCUUCGUGAAAUUUUCCCCCAAACCCUCAAUCUUCCCCUGCUUCGUGUUCGUGGAACGUCUUCCCCUACUUGGGCUGAGCGUCGAGGUCGAGACGGCGAGUCGUCGAGGUCGAGACGGCGAGUCGUCGAGGACUCUGCUGAAGGGUACCCCUCAAACUCCUCAAUUUUAUCUCUUCAAUCUUCAUGUUCUUUUGGUAUGCAGUACCUCGAAUCCACACACGCUUUUGGUUGGUGCAAGGACCGUCGCCAUCCCUUUCUCCAUGCUCCUAAGGUUGAGCCGGUUGAGUCUGAAUGACUGUCUUGUGGAUAAAUAAAAGAUGAGGCUUGCAAAUGUGAAAGUUGGAAGAAAGGGAAACCUUAAUGUUGCCACUGAGAUAUUUCAAGUGGCACCUUCUCUUCACAUGGUUGAGGUACGGAAGGCAAAAGGAGACACAUUGGAGUUCCAUAAGUUUUACAAGAAGCUUUCAACAAGCCUGGAUGUUGUUGUUUGGAAAACAGAAGAUGAUGUGCAAAUGAGAAAAAAAAAUUGAUAUUGAUAUUGAUGUUAUUAUUAUUAUUAUUAUUAUUAUUAUCAAGUGUAAUUUUCUUCAUUUCUGAAGUUCUACUAUUUUCCAAUUUCUUCAUUCUUAUUUCCUCUAAGGUUCCUUCCUGUAGGUUUGUUUGGAAAUUCCAUAGUACUCAUAAUGUAUUUUGUACCAUGCUAUUAUUUUUGAAAGCAUGCAAUGUAAGAAUUUUACUCA